UACGUAGGGUGCGAGCGUUGUCCGGAAUUAUUGGGUUUAAAGGGUGCGUAGGCGGUUAAUUAAGUCAGUGGUGAAAUCCUGGAGCUCAACUUCAGAACUGCCAUUGAUACUGGUUGACUUGAGUACAGACGAGGUUGGCGGAAUUGAUGGUGUAGCGGUGAAAUGCAUAGAUACCAUCAAGAACACCGAUUGCGAAGGCAGCUAACUAGGCUGUAACUGACGCUGAGGCACGAAAAGUGUGGGGGAUCAAACAGG
rnacentral:rRNA from 1 species